GGGAUGUCUAUACAUACUAAGCAUUAGUGUUUGCUGCUUGUCUAUAUAUUUCUGUGCUUUUAAAGACCAAUCAGAUCUCAGCUGUGCUUUUAAAGACCAAUCAGAGUUCAGAUACUAUCCCUUGUGUUCACUGUAAAUUAUAUAUUUAUUAUGAAAUUAUGAUGGUUUAAAGUAGACAUUGAUAUAGGUCAUACUGGACACCAACCAAUCUGAUAAAAAAAUUACUGUAAAUCACAGGUCAUAUUUUUUUAAUGCAUUUUUUUUCAUCACUAAUGAUUUUACAGUUUAAAUAUAUGACGUUAUUGUAACAAAUAUAGGUAAAUAAAUACAUUGACGUAAUUUAGCAGACGCUCUAAUCCAGAGUGAUUUACAGGAGCAGUUACAAUCCAGUGCCUUGCUCAAGGGCACGUCAACAGAUUAUUCACCCAGUUGGCUCAGCUACGGUAACACAGUAUCAUGAAUCUCAUGAAAGAAGGAGGACCAUAUUGUUGACCUGGAGCCAUAAUCCAGAACACCAAGUGAUGACAGCUCAUCAAUUCAAGUCAAUUCAGAAGGAACUCAAAGGAAACUGAAAUCAGUCGAAUGGAGACCAAAUAAACAACACAAUAUAAUGGUCGGCACUAUAUUUCCUUCGAUCCGCUUUGUGGUUGAGUGUUUCUGUUGAUCUGGAUGUCUUUGUAUUUUCUGCACAAUUAUAGCGAAUAAAAGGUAUUCUAUGA